rnacentral:piRNA from 1 species
UGCAAAUGUCCCAANAGGGCCCACAGCCAA